rnacentral:rRNA from 1 species
AUUGAACGCUGGCGGCAGGCCUAACACAUGCAAGUCGAACGGUAACAGGAAGCAGCUUGCUGCUUUGCUGACGAGUGGCGGACGGGUGAGUAAUGUCUGGGAAACUGCCUGAUGGAGGGGGAUAACUACUGGAAACGGUAGCUAAUACCGCAUAACGUCGCAAGACCAAAGAGGGGGACCUUCGGGCCUCUUGCCAUCGGAUGUGCCCAGAUGGGAUUAGCUAGUAGGUGGGGUAACGGCUCACCUAGGCGACGAUCCCUAGCUGGUCUGAGAGGAUGACCAGCCACACUGGAACUGAGACACGGUCCAGACUCCUACGGGAGGCAGCAGUGGGGAAUAUUGCACAAUGGGCGCAAGCCUGAUGCAGCCAUGCCGCGUGUAUGAAGAAGGCCUUCGGGCUGUAAAGUACUUUCAGCGGGGAGGAAGGGAGUAAAGUUAAUACCUUUGCUCAUUGACGUUACCCGCAGAAGAAGCACCGGCUAACUCCGUG